UUUACUAGAGAGCAGGAAACUUCCACCACCAUUUUCCCUCCCCAUUCCAGCAACUGUCCCGAGAUAUCUGGGCACACGUCACGCGGCCGGAGCUGUGGCUGUGUGAAGUUGUCUCCGGACACUGGACAAGGCUUUCACCUGGUCGUGCAUAAAAGCCUUGAGGCAUCAGAUGGUCUCCUGCCUGCCCUGUGUACCAUAUAAACUGUGAGGAAGCAAAUCAGUAAGCUGCCAAACUUUUGGAAGAAGACACUUCCCCUGUCUCCUCCAGAGCUCUCCGACUAGGCUAUGAUGAGAACUUCAGCACCAACAGUCACAGUGAGAUUCCACCUCAAUUGGCUCUUACCUCCAGAAGACAGCAGAAAAGCCACCUUUCUCCAGGAGCGGUCCGGGUCCUGGAAAGGCUGGAGCCGCAUCAAGCAGGCUGGGACAUAUUCAAGCACGUCACUGAGACCAACAGGCAGCAGCAAGAGCUGCAGCGGCAGCCGCCCUGAGGCCUGGCACCAAGACGUCUUGCCCCGAGGGGGGAAUACCUGUUUGGGACAGCCAAGGUCUCGCCCCACCUGACUCAGCCCCAGGCUGAUCCGCUGCACGGAAGGCAGAAGGGGCAGUAUGGAAGAGGAGCAACACAGUAACUGAGCUCUUGGGAACCUACUUGCAGAAGCCCCUCGCCGCUCCCGGCCCACCCGUGCGUAACCACACAGCAUCACGCUGCGCCCCUGAAAGUAAGGCUGGGGCAGGGGAGGGCACCGGCCCGACCUGGACCCUCUCCACAGGCCACUUCUCCGCAGGCUGAGGGUGAGGCCACUUCUCUGCAGGCUGAGAGCCAGGCCCCCCCGCACCUGGGGGCUCCUACGCCUCAGCAGGAGCUGACGGCCGCAACCCCAGGCCCCCGCAGUCAGUGGCUCGGCCUGGUGCUGGUGUUACAGAACAUCCUGAAACGCAGGGUCAAAGUAGUGUAAAAGGAAUGGAAAUAAUGUGAA